GCCAGGUGCAGUCCCGCCCACCACUCCCAGUAAGGCGGACUGGAGCCGUUCCAAGCCCGAUCCGCCCCUGAUUGGGCCCGGAGACUGUCGCGCGCGGAGACCCAGGCCUCACCUUCUGCAGGAUUCAAGGCUGCGCUAGAGGAGGAAAGGGAAAAGAGGUGGGAAUGAAGCGCUCCAUUCAGUGGGAAGGGCAGAAUCGAAUCACCACACACACCCAGAUAAUACACACUGACCUACAGACGCUCUAUAAACAUCACUGUGAAUGACUGUGGGUAUGUCCUUUACACAUGUUUAAUCAUUCAGCAGACGUCCGCAUUUCCGUAUUGCUUAUCUUCUCACUGCGCAUAAUUGCGUGCCUGCUAAACCCUCUUUCUAUAGGCUAUGUUGAUACUCUUAAUAUUUAUAUUGUUACAUCGUUUUUAUUUGAAACCCAUUCGCAACACCUUUAUUAUUUCUAGUUUCUAAUGUUUUACAAUGAUUUUACAUUGUGAUCGUAAUACUUUUUUUUUUUUUAAACUUUUUGGCUGCGCAAGGCUGCGUUCGGGAUCUUACUUCCAGAUCAGGGGUUAAACCCACGCCCCCUGCAGGAAAAAAAUAGGGUUUUUUCUUAGUAUAUCCAGGUUCCCUGUGGGAAAACUUCCUGGACUUCUCACUGCAAGUAAGAAGUCCAUAUUUGUAUCCAAAACAGUGGUAUUCUUUGACCUUUUGCUCUUUCAUCUUUGUCUUUAUUCCUUUGGGCCAAAAGUCCUCUUCACAUUUCACCCAACUUAAAGCAAUGUUUAACAAGCACCUAUUGGGUGCUGUGAGGUAAUACAAAUAAAUAUAAACCAUAAUCUG